UACGUAGGGUGCAAGCGUUAAUCGGAAUUACUGGGCGUAAAGCGUGCGUAGGCGGUUAUGCAAGACAGAUGUGAAAUCCCCGGGCUCAACCUGGGAACUGCAUUUGUGACUGCAUGCUAGAGUACGGUAGAGGGGGAUGGAAUUCCGCGUGUAGCAGUGAAAUGCGUAGAUAUGCGGAGGAACACCGAUGGCGAAGGCAAUCCCCUGGACCUGUACUGACGCUCAUGCACGAAAGCGUGGGGAGCAAACAGG
rnacentral:rRNA from 1 species